CCCAAGAACGCGGGAGCAUGGGCUUAAUUUGACUCAACGCGGGAAAUCUUACCGGGUCCGGACACACUGAGGAUUGACAGGCAAUAUUAAUACUUUGCUUCGGCAUUGUAUUAUGUUAAAUAUGCUAGUCCUUUCAUGAUUAUGUGAUAGGUGGUGCAUGGCCGUUCUUAGUUCGUGGAGUGAUCUGUCUGCUUAAUUGCGUUUCACUAAGGGCCUAUAAAUUUACGUAUGUUGUAUCGCACUUUGACCCCUUUCUUUAAUUAGAAAGCGCGUGUCUUAGUUUCGCUUUGCUCAUACAAUUAGGUCCUGAAAGCAACGAACGUGACCGCAACCUCUUGUUGCCUUUAUACCAAACAUGUUUAUUCAUUUUUUAAUGUUCAUUCAGAAAAAAGGCUUUUUAAACUAGAGGGACCGCUGUUACUUUCUUAAACCAGAGGAAGGUUGCGGCAAUAACAGGUCUGUGAUGCCCUUAGAUGUUCCGGGCUGCACACGUGCUACAAUGAUUAUUGCAAGUGAGCWUCUCAUUUUUACACACCGCAUGCGCGAGUCCAUUUAUUCACCUUCGGGUGUUUUAAAUGUGUACCUCUGCGCGCGGUAAAGCCUGCUUCGAAAGUAAGUGGGUAAUCAAUUAGAAGUAAUGAUUUCCUUUUUUAGCACACAGAGAUACGGCGUCUAUGCCCGGGUUACCUUGUUGUAGCUUUUGUGUGUAUAGAUGUUUUUUCCGUAUGUGCGAUUGUCAAUUCAUGGUGGGGACAGACCAUUGUUAAUUGUUGGUCUCGGUCUUAACUAGGAAUGCCUUGUACGGGUCUUUGGUUCAACAAACCACCCGGAAUACGUCCCUGCCCUUUGUACACACCGCCCGUCGCUAMKUACCGAUGGACUUCUCUGUGAGUUUGAGGGACUGGGAACGCAGGAAUUUAUUUCUGCACACCUAUGGAAACUUAAACGAACAGUGUGGUCUAAAGGAAAGAGAAGUCGUAACAAGGC
rnacentral:rRNA from 1 species